GACGAACGCUGGCGGCGUGCUUAACACAUGCAAGUCGAACGGAAAGGCCCCCACUUUUUUGGUGGGGGUGCUCGAGUGGCGAACGGGUGAGUAACACGUGGGUGAUCUGCCCUGUACUUCGGGAUAAGCUUGGGAAACUGGGACUAAUACCGGAUAGGACCAUGGUUUAGUGUCUCAUGGUGGAAAAAUUAUUGUUUUGGUGCAGGAUGAGCUCGCGGCCUAUCAGCUUGUUGGUGGGGUAAUGGCCUACCAAGGCGUCGACGGGUAGCCGGCCUGAGAGGGUGGACGGCCACAUUGGGACUGAGAUACGGCCCAGACUCCUACGGGAGGCAGCAGUGGGGAAUAUUGCACAAUGGGCGCAAGCCUGAUGCAGCGACGCCGCGUGGGGGAUGACGGCCUUCGGGUUGUAAACUCCUUUCGUUAGGGACGAAGCCGCACCUUUUUUGGGUGUGGUGACGGUACCUUUGUUAAGAAGCACCGGCUAACUACGUG
rnacentral:rRNA from 1 species